rnacentral:rRNA from 1 species
GAUGAACGCUGGCGGCGUGCCUAAUACAUGCAAGUCGAGCGAACAGACGAGGAGCUUGCUCCUCUGACGUUAGCGGCUGACGGGUGAGUAACACGUGGAUAACCUACCUAUAAGACUGGGAUAACUUCGGGAAACCGGAGCUAAUACCGGAUAAUAUAUUGAACCGCAUGGUUCAAUAGUGAAAGACGGUUUUGCUGUCACUUAUAGAUGGAUCCGCGCCGCAUUAGCUAGUUGGUAAGGUAACGGCUUACCGAGGCAACGAUGCGUAGCCGACCUGAGAGGGUGAUCGGCCACACUGGAACUGAGACACGGUCCAGACUCCUACGGGAGGCAGCAGUAGGGAAUCUUCCGCAAUGGGCGAAAGCCUGACGGAGCAACGCCGCGUGAGUGAUGAAGGUCUUCGGAUCGUAAAACUCUGUUAUUAGGGAAGAACAAAUGUGUAAGUAACUAUGCACGUCUUGACGGUACCUAAUCAGAAAGCCACGGCUAACUACGUG